UCCGUCCUCGUGCUUCUUCUUCUUCUCCUUCUUUUUCUUCUUCUCUUCACCGUGGGCGGCGCCCUCGCCGCCGCCGACACCGGGGAUCUUCUGCUUGAUCUUGUCCACCAAGCCCUCCUUGUGUUCGCCCUCCUUGUGUUCCCCGCCGUGAUGCUGCUGCUGAUGGUGAACAUCAGUAGUGCCGACACCGGGGAUCUGCUGCUUGAUCUUGUCCACCAAGCCCUCCUUGUGUUCGCCGCCGUGAUACUGCUGCUGAUGGUGGACAUCAGUAGUGUGGUGGUCCCCACUAUGGUGCUCUCCCUUGUGCUUGUCCUCCUCCUUUUGCCCUCCUCCCAUGUGAAGGGCUUCUCCGAUCUUGUGAAUAACUCCUGACAUUUUCCCUUAAAAUGACUCUGUUCCUCUUCUUUUCUUUUCAAUGAAAAAUAGUUGUUUGCGAUCUUCUUCUGGUUGUUGUUGUUCUUGUUGGGUGAUCUUGGCUUGGUAUUUAUAGGCUCCAAAAGGAGGGACUAGAAUUAGGAUUAGAUUAUAGAUUAUUUUAAUACAUUUUAUGGCAAAUUCUGAUUUGGAAAGAUAAGAUUAUCCUUUUGGUUUUCCUUAUUUACCCUUUUGCACCCAUUACGUGUACGCGUCUUCGUGGGCUUUUUGGGUAUUUCAAUUAUAUCGCCAAUGCUAAAUCGACACGUUGCAUAUCAGCCGCGGUACUGCCGUAUGUAGUUGUCCAGAAAUCGAGUCGAUUCUCGAUCGUACAAUAAUUAAAUAAUAUUUCAUACGAAAUGAGUUUAGAUAUAUUUUGAAAAUUUAUUUUUAAUUUAAUUAUACGUGUUAUAUAUUUGUUAAUCGAAUAGAGGUCCCACGUAACAGAGUGUUUCUCUAAUCUUUCAUUGCUUUUAAUUAAUUUUACCCAAAUAAAAAAAAAAAGGAAAAUUUAGAGAGAGAGAGAGAGAUAGCGAAUUAGAAGUUGAUUGUAAUAUCGACACCUGUCAGACAAUCAAAUAUCGUUAGUUAAAAAUCAGUUGUCCAUAGUCAUGGUCAUAGAUGGCGAAAUUGAUACUUAUUUUAAAAAACAAAACAAAACAAAACGAAACGAAACUAAACUAACAGAUGUUGAAAUGCAGUUCCGUGUUAACAGUCUGUGAUGAAUCUUUAUCUUUGAGUAUACCAUUCAAGAAAUUAUCAUUCAAAAAUUUAUUUAAAGCAGCAGCAAAUCACCUUCUAAUUCCUGAAUCAAAUUAAUUCGAUUUUUUUCGAGUCGAUCAAUUCAUUAGAGAAUUAACGGGCUAAGUUAAAGUUUUGUUAGUUAUUUUUUUUUAUAUUCCUUUAGAUGAUAUGAUUGUCAUUGUCUUUCUUUCUCUGGGCAACAAUAAAUACAAGAUGUGCAAAAGCGUAGUGGAACAUAAUUCGAUUAUGGGUAAAGGGAUCAGUCCGCAUAAUGAGGAUAAAGUUUUUCUCUUUAAAAAAAUUUAACCCAAAGAAAAGGUCGUAGUUUGUAAUAGCCGACACGCAGAUAGAUCACAAAGCAUGGCGGUCCUGAUGGCAAUAACUAACUGAUAUCUUCUGCGAUGAGAGGAGAUCACGUGGUUCUGACACGUAUCGCCCCAUCAACUGAUGUUGUGGCUGCAAUCGCGGCCCAGUCUUUAGAGAGAAGAAAGAUCUGUUAUAACGGGACCUACUUUAGCAUCUAUUUACGACAAAGCCCCUAUUUACUCUACUUAGUAGUAAUAAUAGCAAGUGUCGGGCUUGGAUUCCGUGUUGCUUUAAAUAAAUAUCCGCGUAAAAAGAAAAUGCUUCUUUAAUCCCUUCCUUGUAAUUUUUCGACACGUGGAUGGUUGAAAUUAGCGUGCCGACAUCUUAGGAAUUUUAUCUUGGAGACGGGAACACUGCAGUAGGCAAUGCCAUUUUCUUCGGAUGGUGUGUGGUGACAACGCCUUGGAUUUUGACGUGCAAAGAAUUUAAAUUGAAAAAGAAAAAAAGAAAUUACCAGAAUAAGCAUAGAAGAGAUAUUUUUCUUUUUGUCCUUUUUGGAAUGGAAAAAGAGAUCAAGAGAUUGUUCCAGUAAGUAUUACACAUGUCACAGGCUUAUUCAUGCCCCAUUAUGGCAACUUUUAUGCCUCGCGGUGCCCUCGGUUCCAGCAUAAUAGCUAAGACUUCAAUUUUUCUAACAUAUUUUUGUUACAAAUAUGAACGGAGUAAAUGUAUAACUUUAAUCCUUUGAAUAAAGAAAUGGCGGUUCUCCUGCUCGUUAAUCUCACUUGAAUCCCACCCAGGCAAAAUUUCUUUAUUUUAUUUAACAACAAUUUAAAGAAAGAAACUUUUGCCAGGUUGAAUUUCAAGUGAGAUUCAUUCGUGGGAGAAGUGCCAUUUCUUUAUUCAAAAGAUUAUGGUAAUUACAACUUUCAAUUUCGACAUAAAUUAAAAUUAUAGGCUAUACAAUAAAAUUGCCCUAAAUUAGUCCUAAUCAAUUCAGAUUAUAAAUUUAGGUAUAUUUAUUAUUUUAAUAUAUUAAUGUUCUAUAUAUAUAUAUAUAUAUAUAUAUAUAUGUGUGUGUGUGUGUGUAUNNNNNNNNNNNNNNNNNNNNNNNNNNNNNNNNNNNNNNNNNNNNNNNNNNNNNNNNNNNNNNNNNNNNNNNNNNNNNNNNNNNNNNNNNNNNNNNNNNNNNNNNNNNNACAGCAGAAAAUAUUUGCUAUGGAUAAGGAGACAUGGUCCCACGUCCCACCGUCCCAAUGCAUAUUUUGUAUGUUUCCAUCUUUUCUGAAAUUUUAAUAAAUAAAGUUUUUUGACCACUUGGCCAAAGAACCUUACCCUUACACAACUUUGUGGUUGGAGUCCUGUGAUACAUGUAAGAACUUAUUUUUUUUCUUAAUUAUAAUAUUUUAGAAUAUAAUUAAGUGAAGUAGGUUUUUUUUUUAAAUAUGAGUAAAAUAGAUAUUUUUUAAAUAUUAAAGAGAGUAAAAUUUGAAUAAUAAUAUAUUAAAAUUAAUACAAACUAAUUUUAAUAAUUAUUUAAUUAUAAAUAUCAAUUAUAACAUCAUAUAAUAUCAAUUAUAAUAUCGUACAUCUCAAUUAAUUCAAUAAUAAUAAUAAUAAAUGUUUUUUGGGAUAAGUAAACAGUCGCAUGGCGACAAUAGUGGAUCUGGAUUAGAGUGAAGUGGUCCCAAGAGGCUGAGGCUGUGGCUGUGGAGUUCUAAAAGUCAAAAGCUCCACGCACUUUGUUUCAGUACCAUACACACUGAAAAAAUUUGCAUUUGCAAUGACGAAAACUUUUCACGAAAUCAAAACACCUCUAAACUAUUUUGUUAUCGAUAUUUAAUGGAGGGGUUUCCUACCUUUUUAACACUCGAUUCACGCCUUGACGCAUCUCACAGAAAACCUCAUGAUCCCAUUAAUCUUGCGUAACAUAUCUCAAAGCCAAUGCAAGUGAUCUUGUUGCCUACUUCCCUUUGACGAUUCAAAAUUGUUGAAAAUAAUUCUUUUUUUUUUUAACCUCAAGGAAGUGACAAAAUAUAAAAGAAUAUUUUCUACACAUUAAACAUCUAGAUUUUUUUUUCUUUUCUUUUUAGAGUACUUGCACAAACCGUUUCCAAGAGAGACCUUUUUUUUUUUUUUUUUUUUCCGGGCUUGGUUACUAAUUUGGUGUGAAUACUCUAUGGUGAAAAAGGAAUCACAAAGCUGUAAUCAAUUUUUUUGCAUCAUUUAGUUGUAACUUGAACAUUGGGAGGUUUAUAAAGAAUUAAAUUAAUUAUAAUGCCUCUACUAGGAAAAGUUCAGAGUAGCCCUUCACAACUUUUUAAAGGCUUAAUAAUUUUCGCUUUCUUCCUCUCAUAACAUAACAAAAAAUUAAGAGCUUUACUCGUACACGUCCUAUGGCUAUAUAGUAUUGGGUUCUCUACUUCAAUCGGCUAUCUCAAACCGAAGGUUAUUUGGACACACCAGCAGUCACGUUUGGAAACUCUCAAAUGCUUGGAUUGUAAUUCUUGUGGAUGAGAUCAUCUAAAUCUUGGGCCCAAGCCGGACAAUGGGUGGACAAAGAACCCUAAAAUACAGUAAAGCUUCUAACACCCCACUAAAACUCUUAAGAAAUCCUACCUUUUAUUUUUAUAUCUCUUUCUUUUAGAAAUUAUAGAGAAGACAUAGCAUUUUAAUUAUUUUCCCUGCCAUUGAAAAUAAAUUCUGUAAACAUAUUUUUUCAUAAUAAAAUUAUUGUUAUUAGAUAAUUUAUUUCUUCAUUGUUUCAAAAUUAUUAUAAUUUUAUCAACAAAAUUAGUUAUGUCAUAUAUUAGGAUUAAAAUUAAUUAGGAUCCAUAACUUGUAAAGACAUUUUAGUUUAAUUGAAUUCAUAUUUGUCAUUUUAUGUAAUUUUCAAUAAAAAUACGACUAUGAGUGCAAAAGUGGGAUGACAUAAUAUUAAAAGAGUGUGAAAUAAUCGGUAAUUGAAAUGGAUUGAAAUCAUAAUAGAGUAUGAAAAUCAGAAUAAAUUGUUUACUUUAGUUGUAGAAAUCAAAAUUAAAAUAAACCAUAUUAUCAUUGAUGUAUAUAUGUUUUCUUGUAAUCGAAAUGAAUUCUUAUAAGUUACUAUAAGACCCUUAUGGUGUGUUUACUAAUCAGAAAUCAGAAUGGAGUGGAAUUUGAAUAUAGAAUGGUAGGGGUAUUCGCGGAUCGGAUUUUACGGAUUGGACAUUAAUUCAUAUCCGAUCCAUAAUUUUACGGAUUAUAAAUUCUCAACACAAUCCAAAUCCAAUCUAUAUGUUUGCAGAUCGGAUGCGGAUUUGACUCAAUUCAUAUCCAAUCCACUAUUUGACGGAUUGAUUUUGGAAUUAAAAAUUUUUAAUUUUGUCCAAUCUAUGAGGUAAUUAAAUUUAAAAAUCUAAUAUAAAAAUAAUUUAUUAAAUAAAAAAUUAACGUAAAAAUAAUUUUACUACCAAUUAAAUUCAAAAUUGAACAAGAUUUAAAUAAAUUAAUUAUUUAAAUAAAACUAGAAUAAUUUAUUUAAAAUUUUUAAAUAUAACAUAUCGAAAAAAAAUUCAUUUGUUUAGAUUAAUAUAUGAAAAUUAACUAAAAUUAUGAAUUUAAAUGUUGAAAUUUGAGAGCUUGGAUGUAACAGGAAGAAAUUAAGAAACUUGAAGAACUUGAAAAGAAAGUAACAAAUUAAGCUUAACUACCUCUAAUGGUGAAGUGAAACAGUGAUGGUUUGUGCGUGCAAUGGGGUACAAAUUUGGCAUUAUAUGCCAAAAUAUUUUGUUUGGCUUUAGAAUUUUUAAUGUUUAGGAAGCUAUAUUUGUUUAUUUAAUUACUCAAAUAUUUAAUUAUUUUUUAUUUUAUGUUAUUAUUGAAUAAGAUAUAAUAUUGUGUUAAUUUAGCUAUACUUUAAUUAAUUAAUUAAUUUAUUAGUAAGUAGCAUUGCUACAUUUAUAAGUUUUAUUUUUUAUUAAAUAAAUACUUUUUUUUUUCAGAUUCACGAAUUUUUACGGAUUUACAGAAAUAAAUCCAUAUCUAAUCCAUCGACUGUGGUUUUUUAAAUUUUCAUUCCAAUCCGAUCUACCAAUCCACAAAUUAUAUUUUUACGGAUCGGACGAAUUGAGCGGAUCAAAUUGGGUUCUGAACACCCCUAGAGAAUGAGAAUCAAAAUAAAUUAUUUACUUUAGUUGUGUGAAUCGGAAUUGGAAUAAAUUGUACUGUCAUUGAUGUGUUUACUUUAUCUUGGAAUCAGAAUGAAUAAUUUCAAAUUACUAAACUGACCUUAAUUUUUUAUUGUAAUAAUAAUAGUAGUAGUAGUAGUAAUAGUAGUAAUUUUCUAUUAUUAUUAUUAUUUUCUCUCUCUUUUGUUUUUAUUUUUUUAUUUUUCUCUUCUUCUUCUCUUCCUCUUUUUUUAUUUUUCUCUAAUUCAUCGAUACUUCUUCUUCUUCUUUUUUCUUUCGUUUUUAUUUUUAAUUUUUCCCUUCUUUAUCGUUCCUUCUUCUCCGUCCAUUCUCUAUCUUCAAACUCUUUUUACUUUUUCUCUUAUUCUUCAUUACUUCUUCUCCCUUUUUUUUUUUUUUCUCUUCUUUAUUAAUUCUUCUUCUUCUGCGUCUAUUCUUCAUCUUCAAAUUAUCAAGUGAAAAAUACCCACGGUGCCUUACAAGAAGAAUUGGUUUUGUUUGCUUCAAUUAUUUUUUGUAUUUUGUACUUUUGAUUGUUUCAAAAGAGGAUAAACUUGUAAUAAUGCAAUUUAAGUAGGGAUGUUUUAGACAAUUUUGGGUAUGAGAGUCUAAUUCCCAACCCCCCACUCCCUCGUAGCAGACUCCCAUUCUUCAUUCCUAACUUGGUGUUGGACCUACUAAAAUAAAUCCCAUUCCCCUUCUUAUUUCAAGAAGCAAACACGAUUUUGAUUUCAAUUCCCCAAUCCGAAAGUAAACGCACAAAAAUUGUACCCAUAUGAGAUUGCUUAUCCUCGAGUUUUUAGAUUGAAAAAAAAAAAGGAAAAAAGAAUGGCCCCAUUAGGAAGGGAUUUUAAGUGUUAGAUAAAGCCGGUGUUAACCAUUAGAAGGUCUCCGACCUUCAACUGUAAUAUAUUAAACCCAGAUAAAUUUACAUAUAAAUCACACAAACCAACAUGCCAAUCAAAUAAAUUACAUCAACUAACAACAAUUGACACAUUAAUUUUCAUAAUACAGAGGAUGCAGAAAAUUAAAAUGUUUUAUCUUUUCUCCUUAUUUGUGAAUUGGAAAAUGAAAAUGUUAAACAUACAGAAGAGUGAAACAGGAUGGAUAUAUAUACACACACACACACACACAGCUUUGGAGUUCAAUGUCAUCGUAUUGCUCCAAGAAGAUUGGCGCCAUCAAGCUUUGCACCUUCCAGAUGCUGUUUAAUCAUCACCAUAACACCUUCAGUAGACAUUAAUACAUAAUAGAAACACAAAAUUCACAUGAUCUGAAUGUCUGGUCUAUUUUACUUACCGUAUCUCGAAGAUUUACGUGCCGUAAAUAAGCUCUUUGAAGGUUGGCACCCUUUAAAUUGGCAUUACGUAGCUUUGCACCCUGCCGCAUAAAUGUUCGAAGUUUCAACAAAUUAAAGUCUCCUGAGAAAUACAUGUCACGAAAAAGUAGGGCUGAAACUUGCAUCUAAUGUACAAGAUUCAAUCAGGGGUGCUUGUCCCACAGUGAAAGUGUAUGGGGGAAAGUGCACUUUCACAAACCAAAGGGGCAAGAUGUGAUUAUCACACGAUUACAAAAGGACUGUAGUCAAGAGAGAGAACUGAACAUGCAGCUUGUAUUGAGGCCAUGAAAAUUGAUGAAAAGCAGUAACAAGCAACCAUUUUGAAAACACUUCAUAUGGUCGAAUCAAUAAAUCAAAGCUAAAAUGAUGUUGACGAUCGAUAGCUUUUAGGUGAUAAGAGUCUUGGCACUACAGUUAAAAUUAUUAUCUAGGAGUGCACACAUUAAUAAAAAAAAACACAACCAAUAAGCAUGCACUCUUAAUCAGCAUAUAAAUUAACAAGUUAGUUGCACCUUAUGUUGUUCCACAAACAGAUUGCUCGAACAAUUCACAAUCUUACCUUCAAAUUAGCUCCUUCCAAAUUAGCUCCCUCUAGGUUGGCAUUAGUAAGAUCAGCAGUCUGAAAAGUCAAGAGGACAAACAGAUUGCAAUUUGAUUAAAAUCUCAAAGUAGCAACAUUCUGCAUGAAAGAAGAGCAGCACAAUUGGCAACAUACAUUUUAGAUUAAGAGGAUGGGAUAAAAGCAAAAUUACAAGGACAUGAAGCAAAUGAGCCAUGUUUAGUAUGGCAAUUUUGACCCAAUAAUUGUGGCAGGUCUUGGAGAUAACAUAGGCAUACACAUAAGGCAGAAGCAAAUACUGUCGCAAACUCCUAGCUAACUACAAAUGUUCCAUAUAGAAAAAAACACCUGCAAAAGUAAGGGAAAAAGCAACAGAUAAAGAACUCAAGAUGCUAGACCUGUAAGUGUGCAGAUCGCAGGUCUGCUCCACAGAAGCUGCAGUCUAUCAAGCAAGCAUCUGCAAUGAUUUAAGAUAAAUUUGAAUCCAAAUGACAUUUUACCGCAAGUAGUUCCAGCCAUUUUGGGAACAAACAAGAAAUGCUAUUUUGUAUUCAUUGUAAUUCCUUAAGCUAAAUAACAAUCAUGUGCUAUCUUAACCAAGGUACAGUUGCAAAUUCUGAAAUUGUGAUGCCAUAGGUUGUUCUUAAUCUUUUUGAACUGAAUAUUGAAAAAAUAUUCCUUCAAUCAUAAAUGUUAAAUAAUUAAAAGAACUGUGAGGGGGGNNNNNNNNNNNNNNNNNNNNNNNNNNNNNNNNNNNNNNNNNNNNNNNNNNNNNNNNNNNNNNNNNNNNNNNNNNNNNNNNNNNNNNNNNNNNNNNNNNNNNNNNNNNNNNNNNNGGGGGGGGGGGGGGGGGAAUGAAUAAGCGGAUGCAUACAGAAAAUUAUGGAAAAUCUGUUAUGGAAAUAAUAUGAAAAUGGGUAUGCAUAACUACAUACUGAAUCUUGACUAAUUUCAAUUUAAUUCAGAUAAGAAAUUCCAGUAUGGGAAUUGCCUUGUAAAUUUGCACUCUGAAGAUUUGCACCAGCUAGUAAAGCUCCACGAAGGUUUGCCCCAGCAAAUUCACAUCUUCCCUAGGCAAGAUAAAACCCUUAAAAGGCAAUUUUGAAAAAUACAUAUAAUUGGGAGAAUAUCCAGUAUUGCUUUGACUCUCUUACUCACGCAAAGUUGCAUUGUGAAAAAUGGAACCCUCAGCAUCCACAUCCUGUAUCAAGAACAGACAGAUUCAGUAUGAUUAAUAUAACUGGUUGCUGGAAGACAGGACAAAAUCGCAUCUUGUCACUGUCAACUUGCAUGUUAAGAAUUAAACACGAAAACUGCAUGCUGUCCAAUUAUAAGAAACCUAUAAAAUUCAAAUCAACAUCAAUACUGGCUUAAGGAAGAUAUAAAAAUAAAAAUUAUACCAACCCGAAAUUUCGCAGAUUGAAGAUUUGCACGUGAGAAGAAAACAUUUCUAAGACACGCAUAGCUGAAGUCCACAAGUGAAAGAUCCUGGCCAUUUUAAUAAGAUAGCAUCAGAGGAAACAAUAUCUAAUGAAUAUAUAAUGUUCUUUCUUGCUUAUCUGAGAAUACUAAUGAGAUUAUCAAAAAAACUCUAAGCUACUGCUAAGAAGUCUUGUGUUACAUGAGUAUGAAUUGAGGAGGUAAAGAAGACCCUUCUCCAAUAAGUUACCAUAGAAGCCACAUAAAACCCUAAAGCAGUUACAAACUUACAAUGACCAGAAUAAACCACCCCAACUAUCUAUUGGCAAGUAAAAUCACUUCUCUGGAUUUCUGAAAACUAGCAAAACAAAUGCAUAAAUUGGCAAAUUCGAUGAUUUCCUCUGAAAACCAAAUUAUAGCAGACAUAAAACUUGGAAGUAUUCAUAGAAUAAAAAUCUUUCAAGCACCUCAAUUCAGUAAUUAUUACCAGCUUAGAAAGAUCAAGGCCAGAAAGAUUAAGUCCUCGAAAUCUGACUUUUUCAGACUGUAUACACUUGAUGAUAUCAAUGCGUGUUAGCUCAGUAUCUAACUCAUUAUCUUCCUUUCUCUUAUUUAUGACAGCAUGGAUUCUCUCAAUUAGUCCCUGAAAUGAAACACAUUAGAUGCAAACUAUUAUUUGAAAAAAGAAAUACAUUUUAUCCACUAACACACAUGGAUUUCAACAGCAAUCAUACAAUAAUUGAGGAAGGACGGUCAUAUCAGACUCAUCUGCCAAGAUUCAAUAAGCACAUCAAACUUGUUUACAUGUAAUUUCCACAUUCCACGUGAAUUUAUAAGGUCUGCCUAAGCAAACCAAAGAAGGCUACACUCAGUACUGUGUGUAUACUGCCUUACCUUUGCUGUUCCCCAGAUACCGUCCUGCAAUCCAGAUACUUAGCUGUGAAGUUUCAAGCCAGCGAAACCAUUUUAAAAGUACACAUGGACACAGAUACCAUUAUCUGAAUCAUCUUCGAUAACAAAUUAAAAUGCCCUAGCGUUCAAAAAACUUAGGAUCUCUUUAAGUGAAGUUCCUUUAAAAAAGUAGAAAAAAACUGAACAACAAUGUCAUGCUAAUAAAAGGUAAAAAAAAUAAAAUAAAAUAAAGCAUAAGGACAGAAGUUCACCAGGAGCAUGCCAGUAUAAACCAAAACGACCACAAAUCUCAACCAUAAAAUUUAAAGUAGUAAAGUAAAUAAUCAAGGGCAUGCAGUUGGCACAGGUGCUUCCAAAUAAAAUGAUGAUUCUUUUCAAACAGAAAAAAGAAAUGGAUGUUAAUAAACUAGAAGAAACCAUGUCUUACAAGUAAUUGAUAAUAUUCUGCUUCCCGUAGAAGCUCUAAAAACUCUGACUCUGUUAAUGUGGGGACAGCCCCAUCCCUUAACCAAUUCAGAAUAUGCCGAAAAUGUUUUCCGUCCCUAUCAACAAAGAUAUAGCCCUGCAAUAAUUCAAUAUGCUCAAAGAUAAGAAUCUGAAUAAUAUACCCAAGAGAAGUGCUUUUCCCUGGAAUAAUAAAAAGAAAAUAAGUCAAAACGUUUUUCUUAAUGGAAGAACACAAAGGAACAGCUCUAUGACUAACAUGAAAACCAUAAAUCAGAAUAAGAACCCAAAACUGGUCAUUUGGAGUUUCACCAGAUCAAAAAGAUCACAUGGAAAUAAAAUUGUGAAAAUGGGAUUAUUUAUGCCGAGGUCAUGGCUAAACUGCAAUCAUUACUCCAUUUUUGGUAGAAGGAGAAGAAGAAAGAAGAGUAGGUGAGUCAUCAUUCUUUCAGGUGAGUCAUCAUUCUUUCUCUGUGAUUAAUUGAUAUGAUGGAAGUGUUGUAGAUAUUAAUUUGAUAGUGAUUCCUCCCUUCAAAAGAAUUCAUUCCUUUUUUUAUUAUUUCACAAAGUUUAACUAAGACUGAGUUUUCUCAAUUUGAAGGCAUCGUGCACUCUACCCCUUUCUUUUCCUCACAUUGCUUCUUCCCAAUCCCAAAGGGAAGAAAUCAAGAAACAAUUACAAUUUUUAACUAUUCACCAGCAAAAACAAGGCAAAGAAAGAUGCUGAGUGUAAGCAAAAAUAAGAGAGUUAUACACCUCAGAGUCUUGGCACACAGUAUGGCGACCGCUGAACAUAGCUGCAAGCAUAGAUUCAGGCUCACGACGAGUCAGAGUAUCAAUUGUUGUAUAAAAUUUCUUUCCCCCUGGAUAUUAAUACAUAAAAUAUAAAUUUGUUCACUUAAAAGCAUGAAUUGUGCAAAUUUGUCAAUAAUGUCAUUCUUUCACAAACGUUCACCGAAAUGUAUAACAAUAAGUGCAUCAUAACAUAACUAAACGGCUUAAGAACUGCGCAGAUAUUACAUACAGUAGAGAAACAAGAAAUAGAAAAUGAGAUUUGCCCUUUUUAAACAGAAAGCAAUCAAAGAGUAAACUAAAGAGCUAAUAAUUCACAAAAUUCAGUUGAUUAAACUCAUUUACAAGUAAUUAGCAACAAAAUCCAAGCUAAAUAAAAAUAAUGAAAAUUAGGUUCUUAUAACAUCCGUCAAUUCUAUGAAAGUUUACCACGAUCAGCAACAAAUAGAUAAAUCGCAAUAAAGAAAAACCGACGACAUGUCGGUUGUGUAGUGCAUAAGUAAAGGAAUUUGCAGAUGAUGUAAAGAGAAUGAGGGAUAGUAACUGACCGAUGUUGAGACGAACCAUUGAAGACGAAUCGGAGUCCUUCGCCAUUGUCGAGUGUAAUGACUUGUCGUCUUACUUGCGCUCAUAGGUAUUUAUAUCAUAGCUGACACUGUUCGAAGGACAGCAAGGAUUUGGUGGGCACAAAUGCAUUUUGGAAAUUGGGCUUCGGCCCAAGAAAUCGAAAAUCAGAGGCUUUUUUUUAAAAAAAAUUUAAAAGGAUUAGAAUGUCUAUAAAUUAAUAGGGCUGAGACCAUCUUAAAUCUAUUAAGUAAAAGAGAUAUUAAAUAUUUUAUUAAUUAAUAAUUUAUUAAUUUACAGAAUUAUUUAUAAUUCAAUUAACAUACAUUUAAUAACUAAACAUUCAAUGUACAUAAUUUCUGAUUACAAUUCAAAGCACUAACAAUACUUCAUAAUUUCUUAUUACAAUUCAAGAAUUCAACCUCAUAGCUUUUAGAUGCAAUAAGAAAAAUAAGAAAUAAGAUUCAGUUAUAUUUAAAUUUUAAGAAAAAAACAAUAAAAUCAUAUUUUAUGUAAUUAAAAUAUCAUAGUCAACUACAUUUGUAAUUUCAACAAAUUAUUACUCUAUGAUUUAAAUGAGACCACAAAGUUAUAUAAGAUUUUAUCGAAAUUAUUAAUUUAAUCCAUUAGUCCAUGUCAAGACCUUGAAAAUUUAAUAAUUAUAUAAUAGAGAUUAUUAAUUUAUCGAGUAUUAAUUUAUAGAAGUUCUGAUUGUAUAUUAUUUUAUAUUAAUAAAGAAUAAAGUAGCAUUCUUUUUUAAUUCCGAAGUAAUAAAAUUAUGGCUAAAUUAAGAGAGUAGAUAUAUUUUAUAACUUGGUUUAAUAACAUCACGCGCCUCCCUUGUAGUUUUGCAGCUUUGAAGCUUUAUAAUGAAUCCUAUUAGCUUUGGCUGGAAAGUUAUAUUGUUAAAGAGAGUUUAUAUAUUAAACAAGGUGAUCUAAUAUUUCCAAAACUAAAUUUGGGAUCAAAAAUAGAAAACAUUUGCAUGUUUUUACCUUUUGGAAGAAUUACUUGAUAAGUGCUUCACAGAAAAAUGCUUGCUAUUAUAGAGCACCCUAAAAAAAAUCCUUAAUAAUUGAGGGAUCAUAAUAAAGUUCAAUUCUAAAUCUGUCAGAUAGAUCGAAAGUAACAAACCAUAUAUAUUUAAAUCUAUUUAGUAAUCCAGGGUUACAAGCCAAGCGUGCAAUAGCCAAUUCUGAAAAUCAAAGCUCAGCCUAUGCUCUCUGAGCACAAAUAAGAUCUGAUAUAUACAUAUCGAAUCCUCCAUUAUGUGGAGUGAAAUUUCCAUCGUGUACGGUGUACCUAACAAUGAGAAAGCAUGGCAGCAUAAAUUCAUCUUCCAUGUUAUUCUACUUAUUAGUACUGGUUCCCUCAUAACUUCUCCAAAUCGGGGAGGUCUGCAAUGUGUAAAGCACGUAAUCAGAUAAAAGAAAGAGAGCCAAAAAAAAAAAAAAAGGUAACAGCCAAAAGAUUAAAUUUCUUUGAGAAAUAGAAAAUGGGAGCUUUUGGCAUAGGCACAGAAUAGAAAGUAACAGAGUCAUUUACAGUUGUUCAGAAUAUGCAAGCUGAAAACAACUUUGAAUGCAAUGGACAAUUCCUCCAACAAACAAUCGAAUUGGAUUGUGGAAGAGACAAAAGCUUAAUGAGGUUAUGGUUUUGGCUAGGUGAACUCAAAAUUCUUUUAUAGACCAAGUAGGUAAAAACAAAUCCCAUAUAGAUGGAUGAACCUCAUACCAUGAACAGUUAAUCGCGAACACUUGCAGGCUUAUGCACACGACUAUGAAGAUACUAAGGGUUUCACCGAUGGUAAGUGAAAAAUAUAUGAUGUAUAAUUUAAAUGGAAGCACAUAGUUUCGGAUUGAAUUCAAGGUUAAAGUUCCACAGACAGACAGAAGAGAUGAAGCUUAAAAACUUACAGAGCAUUCCUUCAUCAUCACUGCUUUCAUCAUUUUGGCCAACAUGCUGAAAAAAGAAUAUGAUUCAAGUUAAAUGAUUGAGCAACAAUAAAAAACGUGCAAAAUUAAUGCUCUCUCCACAAAAAUUUCAGUCUAUAUUGGUAAGAAGAAACAGGAAGAAAAAAUUACCUCAGCAUCAUCGUCAUUGGAAGCCAAAUCAGCUGUAAAGACCACAAAAUGUUUGGUUAGAACCAGUGGAAGUCUUACUCUAAAAUUUUUAAUUUUUGAAUUUCGAAAGAUCUCGUAAUGACAAAGAUUUUCAUAUCCAGUGACCAAGUUUUGAAAAUUAGAAUACGGAAUGACAUCAACUAAAUUCACUAAUAUAAGCUAGAGGAAUCCCUAGUAGAUAUAGCGCACAUGCACACAUGAUAUGCAUCCGAAUACACAAUAAUAAAUUAUCUCAAAGUCAAUAAGAAGCCAAAAUUAGAGAUAAACUUUUAGCCACUAUAAGGAAGACUGAUAUUUGCAGUGUGAUUACAAUAAACAAACAGAAACUUCACUACCCAUAAGUAAAACAAAAUAAAUAAAGGAUAAUAACUAACCAAGAAAUGGAAAAGCUCACAUUCUCUGAACACGCACCCCAAAAAGAAAGAAAGAAAUAAAUGUUCUCAUUGGAUCUGAAGCACAAGCAAUCCACUGACAUCCUUCUAUAAUUAGGUAAUUUAAAGGGGUUAAGCUCACAUCUUUUACGGAAGUAAGAAGAGAAUUAACAACCUUCCAGAGGAUUUAGGGAAAUACCACGAGGCAAGAAAAAAGAAAUAUCCUUCUUCAAUCUAGAUAUCCUGAUACUGCUCACCAUCUACAACAGUCUGUGGCUUAAAAAGCAGGUCACUGAUCUCUCCCUCCCUCUGGCACCAUUUUCUCUCAUGUCUCAUUUUUCCCUUCCUGCCAACUCCCACUACAGUAUUGAAACCUAUUCUAUCAACUCUUCCCCCUCCAAUAACAAGACCAAAACCAAUUUUACUCGCCGGUUAGCUAGGUAGUAAAUGGAAAUUUGUGAAUCUGUCAUUCAUCCGUAGAAACAAACCAGAACUGCAUAAAUUCUCUUCUCUCCCAACAGCUUCUUUUCUCCAGAAAUAGGCACAAGUAUUUGACAUGGAAACAGUUUAUCUAACAUGGCCACCUUUAAAGACAAAGACAUACUAAGGACGUGGUUUUAGAUACGGAUACAAGAAACAAUCACAAAAUGUAAAAUCUAUACAUAUGAUAUUAAUUUCCAAUGGAUACAGCAAUUCAUUCUUUGACAUAACUUCAUCAGAUUACUAGGUUUGAUUAGGUUAUACACACAUUUAUUCAUUUAUUGAAUCUACAUGCACUUAGAAUGAGAGGUACCUAUAAAAACAAGUUACCAGAAAACAAUACAGCUAGAAAACAUUAAUCUAAGUAGUUCUAUAGGUUUAACUAACUGCAGGAAAAAACCAUUGAUUUUGUCCGCCAGAUUAUCGAGAUCCUAAUUCUGGUAAAAAGAAAAUGAGAUAAUAGAAAAUCAAAAAUUAAAUAGACACAAAAUGAGAAAUCAAGAUCAUAUGGCAACUAAUAUAUAGCAUGGGCUGCAGCUAACAAGCAAUAUAAGCCAUGAUAUUAUGCCAGAUACAAAUUUUGAGAUCCAAGAGAGAUCAAGAAGCAUGAAUACCACUAAAAUAUCGAAAGAAGUGAGUGCAGAAGGAUAAGAAAUCAGGUUGAUAUUCUUCAUACUUUGGAUCAACACGUAGUGAUGCAAUAAACUUGUAAUUAGCUUCAAAUGUAUAGGCUACCAUGUCAACAUUUCCGAAAACACACAAGAUUGUGCUGGAUUCAUACAUAGUACAUAUAUAAAAAAACAAUCUGCUUCUAAACUUCAUGAGAACAUCGAAUAAUGAACUUACAAUUUGAUCCCUCAUCAUCUUCAUCGCACCAUUUGUUCCAAUCAACCUUAAUGUAAGGUGCUGGUUUCUCUUCUGACUUGAGUAGCCUUUUCCACCAACCUUUCUCUUCUUUUUGGACCGAGCAUAUUAUGUUCCUUAAGCCAACUUUAGUCUUACAUUUCUGCACCACCAGCAACAAAACUCAAAGCAUUACAAAAGAGGUAUAUUUAGCCGCUCUUGACUCGAGUGAGAGAACAGGAUAAAUAGCCUAGGUAUAUCCACAUCCAUGUUAUGAGAUUGAUUAUGCAACAGCUAACUUUAAUAUAAAGCUUUUGCUUCAACAAAGACUAAAAUGUUUGUAAUUGUUAUGCUUUUGGAGCUAAAAUGUUUGGCAAACACCCACUUUUACUCUGCACCUAAUAUCUACCACCCACCCACACACUAAGUCUCUCGUUUGGUACAGCUAUUUAUCAGUAGUGGCUUUAAGCCACAACAUUUAAAGCGAAUUUACCCUAAAAUUUUACAAUGAAAAACCUAUACUACCUUUAACAUUGUUGUCAAAAUUAUUAUUAUAAGUAAUAUUUACCAAACACUAUCAACUUCCAAUUCAUAUCAAAGAGCUUUCACUCCACAAUAGCCGUGUCUUCUUAAGCCAGAACAACACAAUACCAAAGGCCUUAAGCUAGUGAUUUGAUUUCACAACAACUGCAGAUCAAGCCUCAAUCCCAAACAUACAUAAAUCAAAUGCAGAAAGCAAAAAUUUAACAAUAUGUUUGGUAUACUAAAUGUCUUUCAUAGUUUCAUUUCACAGGGUAUUUAGACAUGCAAUGAUAAAUUGGAGCAAUUUCAAGAACCGAAUUGACCUCAGGUAAAAUUUUGCCAAAAAGUUCCAAGCUGAAGUCGUAAAGCUCGCCUUGGACUCCGACGGCCGAGAAGCCAAAAAUCCCCUGAGGCUCGCAUUUCACAGAAAUGUCUUUCGCAUCGGGUAAUGAAAUGGUAAGGUAUACUUUAUCGGAGCGCUGAGCCCAAAGAACCUCCGGAUGGCGACUGAACAUAAAAGAAAUAAUAAUAAUAAUAAUAUUAUUAUUUUUUAUUGUGACAAUUUUGAACUAAUAAUUAGAGACAUUUAACAACAAUAUUGAUUAAUAUUGGAGAAGAAAAAUAAGGUUACAAGAGAGAAUCAGAAAGAUUACCUCAUUCUGGUGGAUGAUUGAAAACGGUGGGUCGAUUGAUGAACAGAAGUGUAACUGUCUGGGAGUGAGAGUGACUCUGCUGUUUACUGGGUAGAGUGUGCUUACUCGAAGAAAUUGAAAGUGAUAAUCUCGGGCAAGCCAACACGUCGAUUUGGUCAACAGUGGUCCAACAAACCAGGAACUAGGUUUUUUUUUUUAAAUGAUUUUUUUUUUCAGUAUUAUAUUGCCCCGCCCGUGGGCUAUUACAUUUUGGCCCUUUUGGGGACCCCUCGUUCUCUUACAAGAAGGGAAUAUUCUUUUCCAUCCACCGGUUUGUAGGCAGAGUACAUAUACUCUUCGAAAUUAAGGACAAAUUUCUGAAUCGUGCCGCAUUAGAAUUAAAUUGAGUCUCAAAAGAAUUUUGGUUAUAAGUAUAUCGUUCAAACGGUAAUAUAUUAAAAAAAAUAAUAUUUACUACAAUGUAGACCUAUCGGGACUUUGAAGCCCAGACCAAUUCUUGAGUCUAGCCUAAUAACACCUCAACAGAUCAAAAUUGAAAUCCAACUUAAAUUUCAAUAUUGUGUAGGGAUCUGCCUUAAUUUAGAUAUGUCAAGACCUGCCUUAGGCAUCAAAGUGAUCUAUCUUAACAUAACUAAGACUUUCUUUAAACAUCACAAUGAUUUAUCUUAACGUAGUCAAAUCUAGCCUAAAAAAAUCUAAAGAAGGAAAAAAGAAAUUAUUUUCACGUAUUGAGAGACUUAAAUUCUUAACCUUAUUCAUAAGAAAAAAAAGUGUAUUACUUAACUAAAUCGUGACUAAAAAUUAUAAUUAUUAUUUUUUGUACAUUUAGCUUUAAAAAAUCAUUAUAUAUAUAUAUUCAUAUAAGUUUUGACAUAAUAUACAUACCACUUAUUUGUUUUUUAAAUUAUACGAGAAUGAAAAAACUCAAGCAUUAAACACCAACUUUUGUUUCAUGCUAUCAAUCAACUUGAGAAAUUUUAUAAUAUAUCGGAAGUUCUACGUCACAAUUUAAUACGAAGCCUUCGAUUAAUAAUAAUUAGACACAUGACAAUAGAUGCUAGAGAAAUUUUAAAUUCCCUCUUUUCAUUAUCCCUCCAAAUUUAGAAUUUCAAAAAAUUAGAGAAUAAAUGUUGCUUGCUCUCUUUGUUAUCUAAUUCUAAUUAUUAUUUUUUUCUCUCUCUCUCCAAUCAAGUUGCUAGCAUUUUUUAAAUCUAUUGAAGAAUAAGAAGAAGGUUUUUGUCGAUGAAAUGAUUUUGGCAGCCUUUUUUACCCAAAGCUAACAUGAUUGCUGCGACUACCAAUGAAGAAAAAGAUGUGUUUUGCUGGCGAAGAAGAUGAUUUUUGAAGCAUGAGUGGCUGCCGUUUAUUUUUUUCCUUCAUAUUUUUCGAUGUAGUGGCUGUCCUCAAGUUUUAUUCAUUUACUUUUCAGUUGGCCUACUAUUUAUUGGCAUAAUGAAAAAUUUUAUUUUAAUAAGCAUUUAUAGAUUAAUUUGAGGAGGUUUCUUUUGCAAUAUUAGUGUGGUUUCUGCAUUGGUAUGAUUUAAAUUACGAACUUGCUACAAUCUUUAAUUAAACUGUCAAAAGUAAUUUAAAAAAUCUUUAAUUAAACCGUCAAAAGUAAUUUAAAAACUGACAGUAGAUAGAUUAGAGAUAGGCUUGACAAUUUAGCCCGACUCUAUUUUUAGUCUGAUUGAUCCGAUCCUAAUUUUUAAGACUUUGGCCUGAAUUUUUUGAUUUCGGGUCGGGUUCGGGUCAAAAUUUUAAGGCCCGAACAAAUUUAGGGUCAGGGUCGGACUUAAAACCAACCCGACCCGACCCUAUUUAAAAAAAAAAAAACUAACACACGCACACAACACAUGACAGUUCACUCUCUCUAAAUCGUAAAUCACACACACAAAAUACACUUACACAAAUUCACAAAAACCCUAAGCCAGCCACCCAGCCUGCUGCCGUCCUAUCAGCCAACAUCGUGACCGUCCGCCGCACGCCAGCCAAUCAGCCGUCGUCUCGUCGUCGCAUGUCUCACCAAUCAGCCAUCGUGACCGUCUGCGACGCUGCGACAUGAACUUGAACCAGCCGCCCUUUGUCGCCGUCCUGCCGCAUCCGCCUGCCAGCCAACGAUCAAUGCACACAGUUGAAUUGUGGGGUGGGAAAUGGUUUCGAUAGGGUCGGGCUCGACCCGACCCUAACUAUAAAGAGGUAGGGCUUUUUUAGGGUCGGGUUUUAAUUUUUUGUUGAUCGGGUCGGGUCGGGUUUGGCCAAACCCGAGCCCGACCCGACGUUUUGCCAUCCCUAAUUAGAGAUGAAGAUUGGAGAGAGAGAAAAAUAUAAUUUGAAUGAGAUAAUAAAGAGAGAAGAAAUUCUAUAAUACAUCAUAAGUAAUAUAACUCAUUGAUGUAUGCAUGAUAUAUGUAAUUAACCUUAAUAUAACUAACACUUGUAUGGUGAUAUUUCAAAAUAAAUAUACAUAUGUUAUAAAAUCAUUUACUUAUUGUAUGACUGACAUUUUAUUUUUGAUGUAUUGUACAAUUUCUCAGAAGAGAGUAGUAUUUAUUAUCUCUAAUUUUUUGAAAUUCUAAAUUUUGGAAGGAUAAUAGAAAGAGAAAUUUUAAAAAUUUUUCAACGUAUAAUGCCAUGUAUCUAAUUAUUAUUAGUCGGUGUUCCACGUUAAAACGUAAUAUAGAACCUCUGGACCUUACUGUAUAAUGUACUGUAGAAUUUCCUGAUCACACACUUUCUCAGUUGCAAAAGAGGUGGGCAUAUGAGUUCCUUACGGGGAUUUAGUGUGAAUCCACGCAAAGCCCAUAUAGAUUUUUCCGGUUAACCGCUAUGGCAUCCUAGUUUUAAACUCAGUACUAAAUUUACAGAUCCAUUUAAACCCCCCAAAUCAGUCUCUCACCGUCUCAAGUCUCAAACAAAAAACCUGACCGGAACCCAAACCGCCAAAUCCGAUUCGAUGGUGGACUGUGCUAAAACCCCUAAAAUUCCAAGACUGACAUGCGGUAAAGGAGAUGGUGAUAGACUUAGCAAUCUUCCGGAGCACAUCAUUUAUCACAUAUUCUCGUUCAUGGAAACAGUUGAUGUUGUUAGAGCAAGCACUGUUUCGCGAAGAUGGAGGUACUUGUGGCUUUCCGUUCCUUAUUUGAACUUCGACUAUCACACAAUUUGGUCAGACCCGGAAAGUAGAUGGUCUCGUAGGAAAAUCAAUGAUAAGUUCAAAGAUUUUGUCAACUGGGUAAUAUUUUCUCAAAAUGGGUCUGUUAAUAUUCAAAGAUUUCGUCUUUGCUGCUGGGAUUAUUUAGCAAGUUACGAUAACGAUAGAACGAUUUACAGAUGGGUUUCUGCUAUGGCACGUCGAAACGUGCAAGUGCUUGAUCUGGCUAUAGCUUCACUAUACCCAUUUGAGUUUGACUUGCCACAUAGUCUUGUAACUUGUGAUUCAUUGGUGGAACUGAAGUUGAGUUUGAGCUUUCAUGUUCACCGAUGUUUUUUAAAGCUGCCUACUGCUGCUGGUUUUAUUGGGCUCAAGUCUCUUGAUUUACAAAGUGUUGCGUUGGAUGAUAAUUUGUUUCCUGAAUUUAUUUCAAAUCUUCCCCUGCUUGAGAAUUUGUGUAUGUUGUCAUGUGUUUUUCCUGAAUUGAAGGUUCUUGACAUUUCUUCCACUAAUUUGAAGAAUUUGGCUCUGGAAUCCAUUGUUGGCAAUGAUAAUGCUGGCAAUGAUGAUGCUGGCAAUGAUGAUGCUGGCAACUACAAGCUUAAGAUUGCUUGUCCAAAUCUUGUGUCUUUUAAUUAUAUAGCUUUAGCUCCAUGGUUACCUCACUUUGCUUUUGAGAGCUUAAACUCCUUGCAAAAUGCAUUCAUUGACCUGGAUGAUUAUAACGAGGAUGACAUGGAGAACGAAAGAUGUCAUGUUUUAUCUACAAUCUUCAAUGACUUUCGUGAAGUUAAAGUUUUGAAAUUAUCAGAAGCCAUUCUUCUCGAGGUAUGAUUUCAAAUACAUUCAUUGCACCAAAUCAUGAUUCUGCCAGAACUUGUCUACACUUUUUUAUUUUGACAUUAGAAAUGAAGCUUAAGUAAACUGAAUCUACUUUCUUUGUUUGGUAAAAUAAGAAUUCUAUUGAUUAUGGAACCUUCCUAAAUGCUAAUUUGUUCUUUAGACUGUGUAUAAGUCAUUGUGACAUUGUAUGAAGUCUCAUUUAUCUGAGUAAUCAAUUGUUAUUGAUGUCAAAGACUAGAACUCAUUGGUGACUUGAGUUUAUGUAUAUUAUCGUUUGUUAGAUUUUUUGUGUGAUUAUUGCACUUAACUUGACUAAUGUAUUCUCUUUCUUUUUGCCAUUGUUCCUCCAGGUUCUUGAUCCUGAUCCUGCUCACGAAGAACCAGCAUUUUUUUCCACUUCAUUCAAUAAUUUGAAGUCCUUAAUACUUUCUGCAGGUCCGGGUGUAUGUCUCAUGCCAUCAAUGCUUAGGUUGCUCAACUGCUCUCCAAAUCUAGAAGCUCUUGCAAUAUAUUCUCCUAAGGUAAUCUUAACACCAAAAACUAUUCCAUUUGUUAGAUACCGUCGCUUCUAUCCAUUUUUUUUAAAAAUCAUAUCUCCCAUUUAUGUGCUAAAAUUUUAAUUUUGUUAAAGUGCAACUGGGCUUUGCUUAAAUUAUCGCAAUAGAGUUGAAACCUGAAAGUAUUUGUGAUAUAUUAUGUUUACCGCUUAGAGCUUAAAGUAAAUGUUAAUCUUGUGGCCUCUUGGUUGUUCCCAUGCUAUUGCUUGUUGAGCAGAUGGUUGAAUUUAGAGUCAAUCAAUCGGUUGUGUUCUUCUGAGGUUUGUGCAAGUUUUGUAAAAGAGCAAAGUUUAGUAUUUGUUUAGUUUGUGAAAAUGAUAUAGCUUUUUCUAAUUCAUCUUACUCUAUUCUUUGCUUAAAAAUGAAUUCUCCUUUUGAUUUGAUUCCUUGACUGCAUUUCGGUCUGUUUUCUCUUGGCAGCAUCGGCGUGGAUAUAAUGCUUAUAGGAAAACACCGAACAAGGCUGCUAUUUCAUGUUUGACAAAUCAUCUCAAGACAGUUGAAAUAAAACAUUUUAGCGGUGAUAUGAAUCAACUUGAAAUUGUGAGGUUUCUUCUAAGGAAUGGACAUGUAUUGCAGAGAAUGAGUAUUAGAUGGGUGGCAGAUGUUAAGAAUCAAGGGAAGAUUAUCUCAAGGAUAAUGAAGUUUCGGAGAUCAUCUUCAAGUGUUGUGCUGAAAUUCCUAGAUCCUAAGCCAGCUGAUGAUUUUUCAGAUUAUUUAUUUGAUGAUGAGCAAAAGAACUAAAAUUAUGUUUAAAUUAAAAAAAAAAAAAGUGGUUUAAGUGUAUGUUCGAAUUAAAUAGUCUUUUGGAUUUGUAGAAACUGAAAGGAGUACAGUGCCAGUCACUGUGGCAGCCUUAUGUUUUGUUUGAAAAAAUUCGGAAGCUUCUAAAUUGUUAUAUACCUCAAUUCUGAAGUCGUUAGUAUGUAUAUUAUAAGCAAUACAUAUGUUCCAUUUGUCAUAUUUUAUUUUGGCAUUACGAUUGUUUUGUCUUGAUUAAUAUUGAUUAUAAUUUGUUUAACAUUUAUCUGGCAUAUGUAGAAUUAUACUUUAUCUGAGUAGAUGACGCUGCUGCGUACAUCUUCAGGACUCGGUCAUAAACUGUUUAUCUCUGCGUCUGUCUAGCAUCCAUCCACGUAUGACCUGUCGGCUUUUUGCCCGCAAGCAUACAGUUAGGGGUGGUAAAAAUAUCUGUCCGGUCUGGAUUCGGUUCGCACCCGGAUGUUUUAUCCGGCCCGGUCUUGGGCAUCAUUUGAUAAAUUCGGAACCCGAGUUUUAUUAAGCGCCUUGGCCGUACAGCAGUAUAUUAUUUUAAAUAUUUAUAUUUAUUUGACUCAUUUAUUACAUAUAUAUAAAGUUUUAGACACUUAAAGUUUAUAUUUUCAUGUCAAAUUUCAUUAAAAUAAAUUUAAAACUUAUAAAAUUACCAAAAAAUAAAAAAUAUAUACAUAUAUAAUAUUAAAAAAUAUAAAAUCUGGGUACCCAAAUUAAAACCCGGCACAAUCCGACCCAGGCAUCUAUGCAUCCGGGUCGGGUCCGGUCAUUACGAUACCCCGACCCAGCCCAGGGUUUUGCCAUCCCUACAUGCAGUGUAUAUGAAUUGCAGUUCUUGUACGGACAACAUGUCAUCCAUAAAACUCGAGUUAUGUUCUUUUUAAUCUUUAGUUUAGAUUACAUUUUGCAAAACUAAUAAACGAUAGAGCUCCUAGCAAGGUCAAUAGUUAACUGCGAAUCCAGAAGAUCGGAAUGCUAUACCUUUCAAACAUGCAUUUCAAAGCCAUCUGCGGAAAUGGAAAACAAGCAUUUCAAACUCGUUGUUAAAACAAUGAUAAAAGUAAUUUUAAUCCUAAUUUUUAAUUCCAGGCAUGAAGCUAACUCAUAUACAAAGAGAUAUCAAGUAAGCAGAGGCGAAAGCUAAAAGCUUUGGUUACAGGGGUCGGUGUGAAUAAUGUAUAUAUCGUUUAGACAUAUUUUUGAAUAUCUAUUUUAAUUUAGGGGAUAUUAUAUAUAUUUAAAAAAAAUUAAAAUUUUUACGGGAGCCAUGGCUUACUAUAGUCUCCAUUAAGAUUCACCCUCCCUACUUUUCGUACUUCAUUAAAGUAUAGGAUAAAUAUUUACAAUAUUAUAAAUAGAUUUUAUAAAAGCAGUCCAUAUAUGAAAGUCCUUCUGCACUCUGAAUUAAAUAAAAAUAACGUGAGACUAACAAUUUAAGAGUCUUUUUUGCAACGUAUAUCGUGCAGUGAUGUACUCUAUCGACGGAGGACUCUCUUCAUAUGCUUUUUAUUUUUCCAUGCCUGAUUAUAAAUAGGAUCACUCUAUGUUACAUUAAACGUAACGUACACACACUCACAACAACAGUAACAAGUCCCAUCAUUAGAACUGUUGCUGUGAGUGCGUGUAUGUUACGUUUAACGUAACAUAUCACUAGCCUUAUAAAUAACAUCACUUUUAAGGAUUUUUACAAAUUUUUAUUACAACCGUAACUUUUGUCCUCAUACAAUAACGGUGUCCAUUGUCCACAUAUAAAAAGUUCAUCAAUAAACAUAUAACCUAAUUAAAAUUCGUGACAAAAUCCAAAGGAAAGAAAGCGUGGAGUAAUAUAUAUAACAAAGGCAUUGAGCAUACACCAGGUGUAAUUUGCAUUGCAUGGCCACCCUUACGUGGCAGUUCCGCCGAUUAACACAUCUUUAAAAGUUAAAGCCCCCCUCUCUCCUUGUUAAGGGCGUUUCAACACAACACUCAUCAAUGCAAGCAAAGAGACAGUGAAGGAAAAAUUAAGAAACCAAUAUUGUCACUUGGAAGAAAGAAACAAUCAUUACAUAUAUAAUACGAUGGAUACUAAGAACAACAGGAAGCAUUUGUCCUGCAUUGCCAACGACGUCGUUCACAGAUGUGCACUGUACGUAUCUCUCUCUCUCUCUCUCUCUCCUUUUCUUUUUCUCCCCGAUCACUUUGUUUUCUUUAUAUAUACGAAUGUAUGUAGAACGUAGUAGGUUUUGUAUAAAUAUCUGUUGCACACAUUAUUUGAUGUGCAUUUAAAUAUAAUUAAUGGUAAUUGAGAUGACACACAAAGACAAUGCAAAAAAAGAAAAAAAAAGAGAGAGUAAAUUAAUGAAUUUGCCUUGAUCCAGUUAAUUUGUGUGCAUUUAGCUGACUGUAAGGUGGUUUCGAGUGUGUUUUUGUUUGGCAACUUUUCACACAAAAGCACUUUUGGGAAGCACUUUAUGUAAUGUAAGUGCCUCUAAAAACUGUUUUAUGUAUUACUGCCAAAUGCAGUGCAGAGGUUACAAUGGGAGGGUCGGUUUUAUACCUGUUCUUCGAGACUUAAUUUCAAUAGGAGAUUGAAAUAUUUAUGAGAAUUAUGUUGUUAGCAGACUUAAUUCUUUUGGAGGAAUUCAUUCCAUCGUAGACCACUCAAUGAAUUUGGUCGAUUGAGAUUAUUUGAGUGCAUGCUUCAAAACUGGAGCAUUAAUUCUUUGACAUAAAUGGGCUUUAACAUAAGGCGCGUUCGCUUAUUCCAUUUAUUCAAGAAGUUGGCACUCAAUUUUUUAUUACUAGCCUUUAGAUGGCCAGCAGCCUUUUGUAGCCCUUUCUAGUUUCUACUAAAGUGGUUAUGUGCAAUAGUUCUAUUCUGGGUUGCAAAAUUAUUGUGUCAGUAGAAUCCACAUACAUUAUGUACUUUUCUGUAUUUAAUUUCAAGAGGCUUAGUUAUAUCAUAGUUUUAGGAUUAUAAUAAGUCUGUCCGUUACCAUGUUAUUGGAAUUUUUUUUUUUUUCUAAAUUAGUUGGACACAUUAUUGGAUUGGUCAAUAAAGGAAAGCAUUUGGCAAGUACUUGGUUUGAUAUUAACAUAUAGUUGCAGUAAAGCACAUUAACUUGUGCAUCCUGAAAUUCUUGCAGGCAAGUAAAGGCUUCUGAGGAUUCAUUGGUGGAGGGGUUUGAAGCUGAAUGGAAGCCUGAAAUCGGACAGUAUUCGAAGAAAUUUGUGGAAUAUUGCAGCAUAAAGGCUCUUACUAACAUGUGCCAGAGCAUAGAAGAAAAGAUUAGUGAUGGAUCAUUUAGUCGACUCACAUUUGAUAUGAUGCUUGCCUGGGAAAUGCCUAGUGCCGCCGAUGAGGAGUCUCAUACUGUAAGCAAUCAUCAUAAUACUCAUAUCCUAUAUUUAUUUCAUGGUCCACCAAAUCAUUAUGAUAUUAUCCCAAUUUUGGUGUGCCUAUCUUCUCUUCAAGUUGCUUCUUCUAUUUCUUUUUCAUUAUACAUUCUCUGGUUCUCAUCAGUUUUCGCUCCAAUUAAAAGAAGCAUGAAUUCUUUCACUUAUCUGCUGAAUCUGUUCUAAUGAUUGGGCAAUAGAUUUUUAUUCCUCUCUGUGGUUACUACUAUUUUGAUCUUGUGCAGGAGUGCAUGGGAAAGGAGAAUGAGGAUAGAAAGGCUGUAAAAGUCACUUCAGAUCAUGAUGAAAUUCCUCUCUUCUAUACAGACAUCAUGCCUCUUCUAGUAAGAGCGUCUCUUUCUGAUCAUUUGAGUGCUAAUGUACCGACCAAGCAUUAGCCUUCACUGAAACUCGUAUAUGAUUUCAUGAACAUUGAUUAAUUGUUAUUUUUGCUAACUACUCUAUGAGAUCUGAUCAAAUUAGAUAUAUAAAUGUUGCGAUUGAUCUUGGAUUUGCUUUAUAUUUGGCCAUCAAUUAUAUUUUACUCUUCAUUUUUAUAUUUGUUUGGUUUGAUAAUUUACCCUCUGGCCCAUAUAUAUGAUGGUAGGUUAAUAAUGAACCGAGUGUUGGAGAAGAUGCAUUUGUAUGGAUGGGAUCCUUAGUUCCUCUAGUUUCAGAUGUUAUUAAUGGGAGAUUUACAUAUGAAAUUCUGACAGCGCCAACAGGAAACCGGCUCCAUUCUCCAGCAUAUGAUAUAUUUCUAAAGGAGAUGGACAAGUAAUUCUUCCAAUUCUUCCAUGCAGCAAUUUUACCACUCAGAAACUUUAAGUGCCGUUUGGUUUUGUGACAUGCAAAUUAUCAUGGAACACUCAAAAUGAGUUGUUCUUAACAAUUUCUAGAAUUUGCAAACUCACUAACCAUAUCUGAAAAUGCAGAAGCAUUAUUACCACUUAUUGAUAACAAUAUCUCUGCUCGACUUGUUUGGGUGCUUUCAGCCGUUUUUCAUUUUCUUUUGGAAAUCUUGAUUUCAUAGAUGCAUAAAACAUUUGCAAAAACAAGCAACUCCAAAGGGUGUUGAGCUGGCUGACGAUGAAUUUAUACUGCAUGUGGAGGGAACUGCAAGCACACAGAGAGUAGUGCGCCAUAUUGGGAAAACAAGUUGGCCUGGUAUGUCUUUAGUUUGAUGUCUUACAUCUUUUUAACUGCUGUAGAAAUUGUUACUUGGAUUUUACUAAUCAUAAUUGUUGUCUCUAGGUAGGCUCACACUGACAAAUUAUGCGCUCUACUUCGAGGCUUCGGGAGUAAUAACAUAUGAAGAUGCUCUAAAGAUUGACCUCUCAAAAGAUGCUGAACUAUCUGUUAAACCAACUGCCACAGGUCCAUGGGGUGCUCCGCUUUUUGACAAGGCAAUUGUAGUCGAGUCCCCUGAACAGUAAGCAUAGUUGCACUUAUAUGAAAUUACUGGAGCUAUUAGCAUCGUUAUUCUUAUUUUAAAAAUUGUUAAAUGCUUGGUAGUUAUCCCAUAAGCUAGAUUUUAAAUGCAUAACAUACAAGGCAGACAUCAGAAAGCAUUCUGAUUCGUUUAUUAAAGUUUGUCUUUUAUUAAGCUAAAGAUAUUAAUGCUGCUAGAUUUUUCUAAUUUGGUUGUAGAUAUUGGUUAGUUACACUGUCAAAUGAGCAAAUCUCGUGGAUAUUUCAUAGUGUGGUUAUGCAAUUGUUUUUUGCCCUUCACUUUUCUAGAUCUGAGGGAAUUGUCCUGGAGUUUCCAGAGAUAACUAGCUCGACAAGGCGUGAUCAUUGGCUGGCCCUCACAAAGGAGAUAAUGUUAAUGCACAAAUUCCUGUCAAAAUUCAAGGUGGAAUGUCCAAUACAAGCAUGGGAGAUGAAUGCAAGGACAAUACUUUGCAUCAUAAGACUCCAUGCAGCAAGAGAAAUGCUGAGGAUAUUGCCUCCAGAUCCCACAAAAUUCUUGAUUUUUGCUUUGUAUGAUGAGUUGCCAAAGGGAGACUACGUGCUAGAAGAGCUUGCUGAGAGUCUGAAGAAAGUUAAUUGUGGACAUCCUUCCAGUGCUAGCUCAAUUCUGAGAUGUAUGAACCUGUCAAUUGCCGCAAGUGGAGAAGUAAAAGAAGGAAAAGAACUGGAGGAACAUAAACAUAUAAGUGAUGAAAGCUGUUCAUCACUGGAAACUGCCAUCAAUCAAUCUAAAGAGCAAGCAAAGGCAAUUGAAAUUGCUAAGUCUACCACUGAGGGCCUGAAAGAUGAAGGGAUCAGUGAUAGUAUCCUUGUUCUCUUGGUAUGUUUUUACUUCCAAAUUGUUGUUUAUGCUGCUGAUUUUAUAUUGACAGAAUAAGUAAUGACAUCUCAACAAAUCAUGGUAUUGAGAGCUUGUUUGACAUUUAUCAAACACAGCAAAGAAAUUGAAUUUUAUGAAAUUCCUAUAGCACCCUAUAAUUUGUACCAAAAAAUCUCUGCACCUUUGGCAUGCUGUAUGGUAUGGAAGUAUAGCUGUCUCAGAGAGGUUACUGUUAUUUACUUUAUUUGGUUUUGUAGUAUUGAUGUUAAGUUUGAUUUAAUAAUGUAGGAGCUACUAAAGCCACUUAAAAGUGUUUUACCCUGGAUUCGAGAAGUUGUUUCAUGGGAAAAACCAGCAACCACCCUCACUGUGAUUGCAACAACUCUACUAAUAGUGUACAAGUAAGUCAGUGCUCCCUCGUAAUUUUCUUAUAUACGGAAAUUUUUUUGAAAGUGCAUGUUGAUCAAGAACCACUUCAUUACUUGGCCUAUUAAUGUGUAAACUUUGCAAAUGACUAGUAAACUAUAUAAUGGCAAUGUAGGGAGUGGGUAGGCCAGGCUAUAGCUGCUUGUUUGCUCACCAUCGUGGUGAAGAUGCUUCAGGCAAGAAAAAAAAGGUUGACAGACAAAUGCAAUGAGAUAGUAGUAUGCACUGCUUCAGAUCAGAGCACCGUGGAGAGCAUUGUGUCGGCUCAAUACAGUUUGAUAACUAUUCAUGAGAUGUUGCAGGCAGCAAACAUUAUGAUUUUGAAGAUAUGGUCGAUAUUAAUUUCAAAGGCCCGCAAGGUACUCAUUUUGAUAACCUAUGCUUUCAGCUUAGCAAUUAAAUAUCGUUUUCAAUCAAUAUUGCUUAUUCGUCGUUAGCUGAAGUUCGUUUACCUACUACAUUUGUUGGAUGUCUUCAAUUAUUGAGGAGUCUUAGUUGCAUUUCCAAAUUGUUCUAAAUCCUCGUUUCAUUUAAUGGGUUGCAGCAUGCGGACACGGUUAUGGUGGCAUUGACUGGGUUAGCAAUAGUAUUAGCAGUUGUUCCAUUCAAGUAUAUUGUCAUGGGAGGUGUGCUGUACGGCUUCAUUAUGAACUCGAAGCCAAUGAAGUACCUGGGAAACAACUCAAACGACCAAAGCGGCAACAGACGUCUAAAAGAAUGGUGGGAGUCAAUCCCUAUUAUUCCUGUUCGCGUCGUGGACAAGCUUCCUGAGUGCCCAAAAUAAUGUGUCGGCUCCUGCACAAUCACAGUUGCCUAAAUCCUCUGUUUCUGAACUUUUGUUAUCAACUUACUGCACGAUAUACACUUCUGAGUUUGCUUUUGCCAUCAGAGUAGAACUGUAUCUGAAACACAGCAUACACUUAAAUGCUCAUUACAAAUUUGGAGAAAAGCACAAGUAGAAAAGGAUUGAAGACAUUCAGUAACGUUGAAAUUCUGCAUUUUCUUUAAUUUUUGUUAUGAACAAGUUUCUUAAUUAUUUGUUCUCUUGAUGUAAAAUAGCAUAUUGCUGGGAGUAAUGAAGAUGUGACUGUGCUUUUCCUAUUAGCAUGUUAAUAAAAGCAAAAUGGAAAAUUAUUAGUUACGUCCUCUCGUUUUGCGGCUUAUUGAGCUAACAAGUAACUUCUUCAUUACUAGCGUGCAAGUUUGCAACUAGUGAAUCUCAAAUAUAACUCUACCCAAUGGAUGGAUGUACGAUGGAUGUACCUACCCAAUCAUUUAUUUCUCAUUAAAUCUGUUAAAACAGAAAAAGUCCCGACGUCAUAUUCUUCGCGCCUUUUAAAAAACGACACGUGUCGUAUCCCACUACUCGCGUGCUGGAAACUUUAACCCACUCUGACUGCGUGACAGCAGAUCAUUCCCAAUUCAUUUCAGUUUCACUGUCACUUUCACUCCUCCUCAGGCGCCUUCCGACAAACAGGAAGAAUGCAAACUUGAAAACCCCCAAAAACCCUAACGUUCCCCCGGAGACCCUAACCCACCAUAAACCCUGGCUCUUAAUCCUAGCCACUAUGAGCGACCAAGACGAGCAAUCGCGAGCUCAGAAAGCCGCCCAGUUAACAAGUCCGCUCUCAUCCUCUCUCUCGAACCUUUCUUCUUCUUCAAGAAGCAUCCCCUCUAAUCAAGAUUUCCAUUUCUUCUACAAUUUCCCUGAAUUCAAUCAACCCGUCCAAGAAAUCGCGAACCAAUCGCAGCUCCUCCUACAAUCCAUCGGCUCAUCGGAGAUUUUUAACCAACCGAUCAAUUUUCCUGAUGAGGUUGACAUCUCGGACGCCUACGACUGGCUUGUCGACGUAAACGACAACGUUUUCGAGCGUAUGGAUGUUUCUUUCGACGAAUUUAGUAAAGUAAGAGGGGAAAAUGGGGAAGGAGAUGGAAAUGAAGGUGGCUUUCAGUUGGUUUAUGGGAAGAACAAGAAGAAGGGCGACAUUGUGGGUGGCUCUGCCCCGGCCAGUGUGAAAGUGAAGGACAGGAAAGAGAAAAGCAAGGUGCCGUUUCAUAUAUCGACUAUAACAAAACCGCAAGAGGAGUACAAGAUAGUUGUGAACAAUGCGAACCAGCCGUUUCAGCAUGUUUGGUUGCAGAAGAUUGAGGACAGUGGACGGUUUAUCCAUCCUCUUGUAAGUUUGUUAUUUUUUGAAUAUUUUGAUAUUGGAUUUGACUUACUGGGUUUGUUAAAUUUGUAAUCUGAAAAUAGUACCUUUCUUAGGGACUUUUUAGUGAUCAAUUAUUUCUUUCAUUUUCUUUUUGGGUGGUUUGUGGUAUAUGUUUACGCUUAUCUUGUUUGGAAUUUGUGUGCAAUUCUUAUUAUUCAUGCGAGAAUUUUAACACUAUCAUGUGGUUCAUGCUUGCCAAAAAUAUACCAAAACACUUUUGCUUAUUGCUAUUGCUUUAUUUGUACAGGACAAUCUUUCUGUUUUGGAUUUUGUUGAUAAAGAUAUAGGGGAUGUGGAACCUGUAAAACCUCCCUCGUUGGAGCAGACACCAUUCAAGCUUGUGGAAGAAGUUAAAGAUUUAAAGGAGCUAGCUGCUAAAUUGAAGAGCGUAGAUGAGUUUGCGGUAAAGUCUGACUUCUGUGAUUAUGUUUUAUUGAUAAAUAAUGCCGUGGUUCAGCCUUACUGCAGUAGUUUCUUUUUUUCAGCCUUUUGAUUUCUCUUUUCUGAUGGGGCAUUUCAUAUACAGAACUGAACACUGUCCUAUGUAGAGGAUAUAGUGUAGUUAAGGCACAUGUCACCGAUGUCAGCUACUUCAAAAUUAUAUAGUGCUGGAUGUGGUUUAAGCCAAUAAGACAAGAAAGGGGUGUGGCCGCCUAUGAAGAUACAUACAAAUAUGUUAAUAUUCGAAACAUAUACAAAGAAAUGUGCCUGUAAUAGUUUUCCUGUCUACGUAAAGUAGUAAACCAGCUGUCUAUUUAAUCUUGAUACAAGUUUUGCAUGUUUAAAAAAUUAUCUUUCAUCUUUAACAGUGAGUCCAUUUUUAGCUGUAAUCCUUUUCUCAAGCAUGACUUGGUUUUGCUUUCGUUUUCAUCUCAACAGUAAACCUGUUUGCAACUAGAAAACAUUGUAAUUUUUUUGUAACUUUUCUCUAGGUCGACUUGGAACAUAAUCAAUAUCGAUCUUUCCUAGGAUUGACUUGCCUGAUGCAAAUUUCCACCAGAACCGAAGAUUUUGUGGUAGAUACGUUAAAGCUUCGCGUUCAAGUUGGGCCAUAUCUUAGGGAAGUUUUUAAAGAUCCUACCAAGAAAAAGGUUGGUCCCUUCAACAUGCUCUCGCGUAGCUUUGUGAUAAAUCUUAUUUUUUCCCCCCCAAAUUAUGUUAACUUUUACUUUACUAGGUGAUGCAUGGAGCAGAUCGAGAUAUUGUGUGGCUUCAACGGGACUUUGGCAUAUAUUUGUGCAAUAUGUUUGACACAGGACAGGUUUUAUCCCUUGAAACUCUCUUUGAAAUUUGAGACUUUAUUGAUGAUCUUGUCUGGUUUUUUGUACAAUGGUUAAAUUUAUCUUAUCUUAUCUGCUUUUUUGUGGUCUAAUUUAUGAGUGUUGAUGCAAGCCUUUAUUCUACUAAAUUAGUUAAAUUGAGUUAUCUUUUGAUACUGUAUUUUCAAUUUUGUAAUUCAUCUUAUGUGUUUGAGUCAAGGUUUGGCUUCAAAAAGCCUUGUCAGUUACAUGUCAUCUCUCCCUUAAUUUUUUCAAAGUAGCUUCGCUUGUCAUUUGAACUAUUUGUAUCAUUAUUUUCAAUUUUGAUGUGGAACUUCCCCCAUUUAUUAAUGUUCUUUUGGUUGUUUUUGUGUAAUGCUCUUUUGUAAAUUUUACCGUGGCAUUUAUUUUGUUUUGCAUUUCAAAUAAUAGUGAGAAUUGCUUUUUUCAGUCCUAAGUUUAUUGGUUUAUUGUAAAUAUACUGUAUAUUUAUUUUGGUUUGCAUUGGGAGAUGAUCGUGGGAAUUUGUUUCUGUCUUUUCAUAAGGCCUCAAGAGUCUUGAAAUUGGAGAGAAAUAGUUUGGAGUAUCUUCUACAUCACUUUUGUGGAGUUAAUGCCAACAAAGAGUGAGUCCUUUUGUAAAGUACCUGAUCUGUUUCUCCUUAUAGUUUCCGCCCUUCAUCAUCCUAAGUCAACUCAUUGCAGAUACCAGAACGCAGAUUGGAGAGUACGUCCUCUUCCCGACGAGAUGCUGAGGUACCUUUGGUUCUCUUUUUAUCUUCUUUGUAACCUACUUUUCUAAUGAGUUCUCCAAAAAAAAAAAAAUUAUGAUCUGUUUGGCAUGAAAAUAAUUACUACUAUUUUAAAGUUCUUGUAUUCUUUGGAAAAGCAGAAAUCAUAUAUCAUCAUUUAAGUGUUUGGGGUUUCAUCUUUGCCUGUAUUUUUGUAGAAACUAAUAAUAUUUUUUUUUCUGUGGCUUAGGAUUUGAAUUGUGGGAAUAUCUAUGUUGGAAAUUAAUAAUGAGUGCACAUUGACUCUUGAUAGUGGACAAAUAUUUGGACAGCCAGGAAGGGGAAGGCCAACAAAAGUUUUGGGUUUUUAUAAGUUGAAGUUAUGAAUGGUUUUAUAAUUAAUUAGGUAUAGGUUUCCUCAUUUGGGUAUUUCUGGGAGAUCUGGGUUAUAAGAUUGAGAUAUUCCAGCCUGUAUAGAUAAUUGUAGGGUUGCCUGUGUUUGUGAUAUUCCAGCGCGUUUAUUAUUACUACUUCUUAUAUAUAUAAAAUUUUAGACUCUUUCCAUGUCUAACAAGAAGUUUUCAUGAUAUCACUUGGAUCCUACUCAUGCAGACUUGUAAGGCAUCCUUAGGUGCGGUUAUGUGAUCUGGUUUUUAUAAAUAUUUUUAAAUUUUUUGUCAGAGACAAUGCCUGUAGUGACAAUGUACUGACUUAUCUUUUGGUUAUUACCAAGCUGAAUCAGGUUGCCUGUGGUUUAUGACCAUACCAUUUGGUCUUAUAAAAUGUUCUUCCCUUCACCUCAUGUUCUCAUACUUUAAAGCAUGAAUAAUAUCUAAGGGCCUGAGAUUAUUUCAUUAAUUUUUCCCAAGUCUAGAUCCUUCCCAGAGAAAUGGAUGGAUUACCCACACACUCACCAGUAACAUGUCGUACUUUAUGACGGUUUUGCAUUACUGCUGUAUGUCAUUUAAUUUGCCCUUUUGAGGAUUCUUUAUUUUCUCUGGGCUGAUGUUACUUUGUGGUGCUUUUUUUUCCUAUUUAGUCAAAAUAUAUAUUCAUCAUAGAGUUUCUCUGUUAGAAUUUUCUUAGCUUUGAGGAUUCGUUAGUGGCAUAUCAUCCAAUUGAUUAUACUUGUGAUGACAGAUACGCUAGAGAAGAUACACACUAUCUGUUGUAUAUAUAUGAUAUAAUGAAAAUCAAGUUGUCCUCAAUGCCCAAGGAGUCUGAGAAUUCUGAUACUCCCCUGACAGAGGUAUGAUUUUUGCUUAACUGUUGGUGUUGUUUUGUAAAACUGUUGGGCAUCUCUAUGAUUAUAGAGAAUCCAUUUUUAAAUGCUUUUUUCAGAUCUUGUUGUGCCAUGUAUGACAGACCAUUGCGUCUGGAGAUUGGCAUGGAGCUUAAUAAUUACAAUGUUAAAAAUAGAACAUAAAAUAUUGGGAAGUAUCUAUCAUGACUAAUUCUUCAACUGUUUAAGGAAGAUAGUUUAAAUCCGAAUAUCCUUUUUUGGAUUGUGGACUAAAGAAAAUUGUCAACUCUUGAUUUCUCUUCCCAAGGAUGAAGACGUAUCAGUCUGUUGGCAAACACAUUUUUUGAAUUUUACUUUAGUUAUCUAUAAUUUUACCAUAUUGAGCAAACAUUUUGUUGCAAACAGGUCUACAAGCGCAGUUAUGACGUAUGCAGGCAGCUGUAUGAGAAGGAGCUUCUGUCAGAAAAUUCUUAUCUCCACAUUUAUGGGUUUGUCUUUGUCCCUAUUCAUCUCAGUUUAAGUUUUCAUUUAGUGGCCUCGCCUGUUUAAAAUCUUCUCUCAUACAGUUUUUGUUUGUUUCAUUCUUUACUUAGCAUUACUUCUCUUGUUUAAUUUUAGUUCUAUUUUGGACUUCGUAUUUAUGUGAUUUGACAGAACUUAAUCAGUGGAGCUUAUUUCUCUAUGUUGAAAUAGGUUGCAGGGGGCUGGUCUCAAUGCUCAGCAGCUUGCUGUUGUUGCGGUAUGUCAGUUCUUCAUGUGUUUUUCAAACUUUGCCACUUUUCUAUCUGGAUAUUAUAUGCAUGAGGAUGCUACUGAAAAUGUAUUAUCCGCAUGUUUUGUUUACUAGUUGCAUCUUCAAAUGAAACAAAGUCUUGACCCAGAAGAAUCCGUAACGCACCAAUAGUCACUAAUAGGAUUGUCUUGAGAAAUUUACUUCUAAAUUUUUGAGUGGAUGAUAGAAGGGUGGAUUUUAAGUAGCUGACACAUCAUUGCCAACUGCUGAUAGAGUCUGUUGCAUACUUGAGUAUUCUUGCUAGUUCUGGCCCCAUUGAUCCCACUUCAAUGAUUUGCAGGGUCUUUGUGAAUGGCGAGAUGUUAUUGCUCGUGCAGAUGAUGAAAGUACUGGCUAUGUAUUGCCAAACAGAACUCUGAUUGAAAUUGGUAGAAACCUGUCUGAAUUUCCUCCAACUCUCUCUUCUAUAUGUAUAUAAUCCAUUUGGUGAGUUAUGAGUUAAUCAUAUUUUCCUUUUGUGGUAAAAGCCAAACAGUUGCCUACUACUGCUGCCAAGUUACGUCGAUUGUUGAAAUCAAAGCACUCAUAUAUUGAACGCUAUAUGGGUCCGGUACUUAGCAUCAUAAAAAAUUCUAUGCAAAAUGCUGCUAAUUUUGAAGUCAUUGCUCAAAAAUUGAAAGAGGAACGUAUGGAAGUGGUAAGACCUGCAUGCUCAUGUUUGAUUGUUUUGUUAUAUCAGUGAUCCAAAUUGAUUAUUUUUCUUUGAGAAUUUGAUGUUAAUGCCUUCAAUGGAUUGCCAACAUACAUUGAUUUUCUUUUUCUUUUCCUUGGAUUUCGUUAGAAUCAGACCAACCAUCUUUUAAACGAGGAUGAUGGUCCAAAACCUUAAGGUCUACUACGAUGAAUUGCUACUUUUUGUGCAAGUUCUUGUAAUUCACUCAGCUGGUUGUCUUCGGCAAAUGAAAGGAAAAAGGAAAUUCAUCCAAUCCAGUUCUAUUGAAGAAAAAGAAUCCUAGUUGAUCUUACAAAAUUAAGCUUUCAUAAUUUGUUAACCCAUGGAAUGUGAUUAAAACUCAUGGACAAAGGAUGUUCCAGUUGAGAAAGGGAUUUGAGUGAUUUUUAGCAAUUAUCAGUGAUGUCUUCAUUAGAAGUAAGUUUAUGGUUUAUAGCAGUAAAUGCUCAAUAAUUAGGUACUCCUUGUAUAUUGGCUGACCGGGUCCCAUGUUUGUAGUAGGUUUUGUGAGCUACAGAGGAUUAACUUCAGUCAGUUUUCCAUGUUAUGGCUGUUAAGAGCUAUGUCACCAUUUUUCUUUGUUUACAUCAAACUAAUCUUUUUUUUUCCCCCCAUUUUUCCUUAUUUGUGUAGGCAUCAGAAGAAACUGAAGUUUUAGUUCUUGAUACUUCCUCAAACUUGAAAAUUCCGAAUGUUGGAAGGGAGAGUGUUGAUGGUGUUGAUGCAUUAGUUGGUACCACGAUGCCUCACCCACCAGCUUACACCCAGCUGAAACAAGAGCCUCCAAAGGUUGGAAGCAGUGUCGCAGAACUUGACAGAAAUGGACUAGGGUCUUUUGCGCAUCCUGGAGAAGCAAUUGCUUCAGAAAAUAAAGAAGCUACUCAUAUUUCAACACUUUCCAGCUCUGGUCAAAGUAGAGACUUGAAUGCUUGCAAGUCACCUUCACCAAGGGUUGUGAAUUUGAUGCCUUAAUGUGGAUUUUUUUUUUUUUUGGUUAAGAGGUUUAGCAUUCAAUUUCUUUUUCUUUGGUUGUGAAUUUGAUGCCUUAAUGUGGAUUGGAUUUUUUUUUUUUUUGGUUAAGAGGUUUAGCAUUCAAUUUCUUUUUCUUUAUAGGUUACUGAAGCUGCUGUUCAGGCUCUAAAGAAGCCGAACCGUGGUUUUGGAGCACUGCUGGGUAACCCAAAGAGAAAGUUUGAUGGCGAGAAAAAGGUGAGUUAAUCAUUUGCUAGUAAUGGUUGUUAAACAUCUGCUAUGUCAUUGUCACAUAGCAAAAUAACUAUUUCUGAGGCCUGCCAGUCACCCAGUUUGUGCAUGUGUGGUUGGGAAGAAGGCAACAAAGGAAGAAUAUAGUUAAACAUUUGCUAUGUUAUUCUUACAUAGCAAAAUAACUACUACUGAGGCCUGCCAGUCAGCCAGUCUCUGCAUGUUGGUUGCAAAGAAGGCAACAAAAGAAGAAUGUUUUUUUUUUUUGAAUCUUCAUUCCAUGAUUCACUUUCUUUUCAAUUUUUCUUGUCAACUAGCAUGUACAUUUGCCUUCUUGUUGCCUUUUUCGUUGCGUGAGUCAUUAUGAAUUAUGAUUUAUAUUAUACGGAAAUUGUGAGUGGGCAACUGUUGGGCUAUAAUCAAACAUGCAAAAUUUCGGGUCCCAUGACUAAGCGCUGCUAUCAUCUGGAUUUGUGUGUUGUUGCAUUUUAUAUUUGGUUAACACCCUUCUUAUUAUCCUCCUUUUGAUUGUUUGUUUGUCUUAAUUAGGACAAGGAAGCUAUGAAACUAGAGCAGAUUAAAUCCUCAGUCAAUCUUCCAUUCCACUCAAUUUUUGCAAGAGAUGAACAGUUAAAACCAGUUGAUGUGAUGAAGUCUGAACCAAAUAAGCCUGACAUUCCAUUUCCUUCAUCUUUUGGUAGUGGGCAACAAACGAAACCAAUCAUAGAGGAAUCCAAUAGAGUUACAGUAGUUUCCCAAUCAGAAGAACCCGCUCCGGCUGCUAGGUCUGAUACAGAAGAUAUUAUUACGUUGGAAGAUGAUAUAGAUGAAGAGGAACAAAACCUUGGUAAUUUGGAAACUGCAAGUGCGCCCGGAGAGGACGGUUCUGCAGGGUCUGCUUUGGAAAUGGGUAAACAAGAUGAGACCAUGUCUCUCUCUGAUUUAUCAACUAGUUUCCAGGAGUGCUUCCACUCUGCUAACAACAAUAGAAAACCUGGAAAGCCUGAGAGAUCUGAAGAACCUAGUGGUUUUUUGCAGCUUAAGCCGUUUGACUUCGAAGCAGCUAGGAAACAGAUCGAGUUUGGAGAAGAUGCCAAAGAAAAAUCAGCUGGGGUUGAUGGAAACAAAAGAAAACCAGUGAACUCUGGAGAUAAGAAAAAAGUUUCAGCUGUAGAUCAAGCUCAAAAAGAUGAUGGAACAAAAGAACUGUCACAAGGUAGACGACGUUCUGCUUUUCCUGCAACUGGAAAUCGAAGUGCAACAUUUCGCUGAGUCUCUGGUAUCAAUCAUGCUGCUCUGUGUAGCAGAAAUUAGUUGAAUUUUGGAUUUUCACAAUCAUGUUCUUGAUUUAAAUGGAAAUUAAUGCUGGUGGACAAAUUCGCAAUGGUUGUACGUAUAUUUCCAUUGCUUGAGGUCUUGUCUGAUACAGCAUGAGCUAACCUGAUCAUCUUUUGAUAUUCAGUAACAGGAGAGAUGUAUGGUCUGCAGGAGCCAAUGAUGGGCAAGUGAUACCUGAGGCCGGUGUCUAUUUGAAGGUAAAAUGGGCGAUGGUUCUAGGUUUCAUAUUAGGUUUUUGAUAGUCUUGAGUAAUUGCCCUACUAUCUUCAUAUUUAAAAAACAGGAUGGUUUCAAACCAAAGUGCGGUUUGUAAUCAAAAGCAUUUGAUCUUUUUGUUUUUGUAACUUUACGGGUUUUAUUUUUAGAAAAAUGGUUCUGUACUAUGGUUUAUUUCUGCCUUAUUUGAUAUUGUGGUCAUCUUAGGCUUUAUUUAGUGUAAUUUUUCAGUUAUAUGUUCGUUUGGGAAGAGGAAAUGAAGUUAAUUUUAUUUCACACUUGCAUAAGAAAAAAUUGUAAUGUUUAUAUUAUUUUUGUUAAAAUUAUUAUUUAAAAAUUAUAUUUGAUAUCUAUUAAUAAUUUUUAUUAUAAUUAUAAUUUUCUUUUUCCUCCAUCAUCUCAAUUGCUUAUAACUGCUGUUGAGGAUGGUUGGUGCGAUGUUAAUAAUUUGUAAAGGGCUUAGUAACAUCUGGUUCCGUGAUGUCGGCCAAACCAUAUCGAAGGGCUUAAUUUGACGGUCAUCGGGGCCUCCUGCCCAGCUGCCCUCCUUUACGGAUUCCGCUUCCGCAAAUUAUUUUAUAUAAACUGUUGUUACAUGAUAGUGGUGGCCGGAUGAAAAUACUACAUGACCAUAUAAUGCUUUCGGUGCAAUGAGUGAAAAAGAGAAAUUUUUAUGUAUUCUCGGAUUGAAGGAGAAAUUUUAAGAUUAAGAUUGUGGAGUGGUAGCAGGAGUAAAUUAUUUACUUACAUCACUAUGAGAGUGUGGAACG
rnacentral:lncRNA from 1 species